rnacentral:misc_RNA from 1 species
CUCGCGCACCUCCUGCUUUCUGUCUCUAACGUAACCGCUCUACUUGCCACACUGUUUCCUCUUCGGCUCAUACGACCGCCCUCUAUUCCUCACCGAGUCUCUAUUUCUCGUAACAAUGGCCGCUUCAAACAAGGCUUGGGACGCGCGCUACGUGAACCCCGAUCACCCGCAUGACACCUCUUACUAUAUGAAGUGCAUCGGCGGCGGCAUCCUCGCCUGCGGUACUACCCACACCGCCGUCUGCCCUCUCGAUGUCGUAAAGUGUAACAUGCAGGUGAGCCCCGAGAGGUUCAAGUCUCUCGGCCAGGGCAUUAGCCUGAUCAUGAAGGAGGAGGGCAUCGGUGCCAACGGCCUGAUGAAAGGCUGGCUGCCGACCCUCUGCGGCUACUCUGCCCAGGGUGCCUUCAAGUUCGGUCUCUAUGAGUACUUCAAGGACCUCUACGCGAACAUGGCGGGCCAGGAGAACGCGAAGAAGUACGAGGGCAUCAUCUGGCUUGCCGGCUCCGCAUCUGCGGAGUUCUUUGCUGAUAUGGGUCUGUGCCCGUUCGAGAUGACUAAGGUGAAGGUGCAGACGUCGCCGAAAGGAACCUUCCCAACGGGCAUGCUCGCUGCCAUGGCCUCCAUGCGCGCCGACCCCUCCUCCGGCUUCCCUUACAAGUCACUGGUGCCGCUGUGGGGCCGCCAGAUCCCGUACACAAUGGCGAAGUUCUUCUUCUUUGAGAAGGUUGUGCGCAUGUUCUACCAGUACGUCUUCACGAAACCGAAGGAGCAGUACAACAAGGCCACGCAGCUCUCCAUCACCUUCGCCUCUGGGUAUAUCGCUGGCGUUAUCUGCGCCAUUGUUUCGCACCCCGCGGACACCCUCGUCUCUGCUCGCGGUAAGGCGAGCAACGCUGGCAAGUCGUAUGGCCAGAUCGCGAAGGAGAUGGGCUACAUAAAUGUGUGCAGCAAGGGUCUCGGAACUCGUAUCCUGAUGAUCGGCACGCUGACGGGUCUGCAGUGGUGGAUCUACGACACCUACAAGACCGCCCUCGGCAUGGGCACGAGCGGUGGCAACGCCAAGAAAUGAAAUGGUGGCCUUGUGGAAUGUGAGCCCAGGGAGGGAAUGUAAGGGGGCUGGAAAAUGCGCAGAUGUAGUUAGGUGUAAGCUGCUCGCAUGGCGGUGUGGGACGUCUGUGAGUAAACAAUGAGGUUUGUUGUGAGCUGUGGAGGGAAAGCUGAUCUGCAGGCCAGUGUGUGUGAGAUGGGCUGUAAAAGAAUGGCCCUUUUUGUUGCACAUGGGUCUUCUUUCUCCUCCAUUAGUGACCGCUUCAUGUUGGUUCCAUUCAAUUUUCUCCUUGUACAUAUGUGUGCGUGUCUGAAAUAUUUAACGUGAGAUGUCGACGCGCCCUCUAUUCUGCACUAGAACAAUGGAUCCGUUGAUGUGAUUGCCCUCUCUUGUUCGCCUGCACUUGCUUCUUGUUUUGUUUUUUCCGCUCUUCUCUCUUUUGGCACUUCCACGUGUGAGUAUGCUCAGGUGAGUGCACGCGCGAGUAUCUCUCUGCACGUGUGUGCGAAGGUACGCGACAGAGAAGGGUAAGGGAGAAGACGCGUGCGCGGACGGUCACCAAUGCAUGUCUCACCUGGCCCACCCACCCCUUUCCUUUCUUCUUGGUUUCCUUUGUUCUCCUAACUGGUUGUUACGUAGUGGCUGACCCAUGGAGUAGGUGAGGUUCUUUUUUGUGUGGUUGUUGUUUGUUCUUCUUAAGUGUCUUGUGCUUGAUUUCUUCGUUCGUUGGCUCUAUAAGAGGGAUUUCUAGGGUCGUGAGGCGCAAGCGGGCGAAAGCGAGAAAGGCAUAAAGCAACACAGAGAGCGGGGAAAAGACACGGUGAGAUGUCGUGAUUCGGCGAACGGUCCCAUACAUAAACACGCGCUUAAAAGGGAUGCGGUGGAAGUAGAGGUUUGCAUCGGAAGAAGUGGAUGCACGCACCGGUAUCUUUUGUUCUCCGUUGGCCGCAACCCUUGCCAGGUCUUCCACCGUGGGCCUCAUGUGGUCUCAUGUGGCUUAGCAGAUGCGCCUUGAAGAGGGCGUCUUUGCUUGUCUCUUUCCCACGUAUCGCGCCUCUUUGUGUCCACCUCUGCGCGACCGCGUCGUGUUACCCGUUCACUCUUUCACAUCGCUCACAGUCUGAAUCUCUCUCUCUUCGAUGACUUCUCCGCUGUUGAUUUUUUUUUCGUCACGUUUCCUCUCUUGACGUCCCUCACGGCUGACCAGGAGAGAAACGAACACGCAACAGAAAUAAGGAAAGCACCGCAGCCGGCAGCAGCAGAGGAAGAAGUCGAGCGAGAGACGGGAAACUCACGAAGGAACAGCAAAACAAAAAUGAAGGAAAGUCCCAGAACGAGACGGGGGAAAAAGGAGAGAGACAGAGAGUGAAAGAGCGUCGUUUUUCGCUUGAACUGUGCCGCUGCGCCGCGAAAGAAAAGACACUAGCAAGAAAAAUCUGGCAGAAAAGUAAAAAGUGCGAUGCCCCCCCCCACUCCCUCCACCUUCCCUUUCUUUCUCACGCCCAUUUCUCUGCCCGUUCAGCUGAAGCCUCGUAUCUUUUUUUCUGUUGCUCCAGCACGGCUUGCUUUUUUUUUGGUAGCAUCAGCUGACAGCUUCACAGUGAUCGUGGUAGUGAGUGAAACUAGAGGCGGCAGACAAAACAGCUCGUUUUGUGCGAUGAAGGGCAUGAGAGGUGAGGAUGGCGAGGUCAUUGGUCGCACGGGGUCGCUUUUGUGUAUAGGCUUCUCAUUUUCCUUUUCGCGCCGUUUUUCUUUGUUUUUUUUUUUGGGGGGGGGGUUCGCCUGUGGCACAGGCGAAAAGUCUAUCGUCCUCGCUUUGUUUUCGUUCGUACUGUGUCUUUGCCUUCUUUUCUGCUUGGCGCCCCGCCCCUCUUCGUGCUUGUCGCCGCUGACAAACACUCUUUCUCUCCAUCUCGCUCCUCCGGCUUCCUUGCUUUUUGUUUGUGUUUACAUCCCUUUCUCCCCCUCCCCUCUAGUGACCUCUCUUCACUGUGUUUGUGUAUACGCGAAUGCGUGUGUCUGCGCGUGCUUGUGUGUGCUCUGUCAUUUUUAGGCAUCUCACAUCUUUUUUUCUCCCCCUCCUCUUCGACUGUGAUGCCUACAAGCCAACAAGCAGAAAAGAAACGGUACCGAGUCUUCUCUCGUGUAGCAGAACAUCUUGCUCCUCUCAUCAGGUGUGGGAUCUAAGUUUUUUUUUAAUGAAUAGACCAGAAAAACAAGAGGGAAGCGAACAGG